rnacentral:rRNA from 1 species
GGGGGGGGGGGGGGGGGGGGGGGGGGGGGGGGGGGCGAGCGGGGGGGGGGGGGGGGCGCUGGCGGGGGGGGGCGGAGGGGGGGGGAAGUGGGCGGAGUCUGGCUUGGUGGGGGGGGUGACGUAGGGAAACUUACGCUAAUACCGCAUAGGUCCUACGGGAGAAAGUGGGGGACCGCAAGGCCUCACGCCGAAAGAUGAGCCGAGGACCGGUUAGCUAGUUGGGGGGGUAAAGGCCCACCAAGGAGACGAUCGGUAGCUGGUCUGAGAGGAGGAUCGGCCACCCUGGACCUGAGACACGGCCCAGACUCCUACGGGAGGCAGAAGUGGGGAAUAUUGGAAAAUGGGCGCAAGCCUGAUCCAGCCAUGCCGCGUGGGUGAAGAAGGCCUUCGGGUGGUAAAGCACUUUUGUCCGGAAAGAAAUCCCUGGAGCUAAGACCUUCGGGGGAUGACGGUACCGGAAGAAUAAGCACCGGCUAACUUCGG